rnacentral:rRNA from 1 species
GUGGGGAAUCUUGCGCAAUGGGCGAAAGCCUGACGCAGCCAUGCCGCGUGAAUGAUGAAGGUCUUAGGAUUGUAAAAUUCUUUCACCGGGGACGAUAAUGACGGUACCCGGAGAAGAAGCCCCGGCUAACUUCGUGCCAGCAGCCGCGGUAAUACGAAGGGGGCUAGCGUUGCUCGGAAUUACUGGGCGUAAAGGGCGCGUAGGCGGAUCGUUAAGUCAGGGGUGAAAUCCCAGAGCUCAACUCUGGAACUGCCCUUGAUACUGGCGAUCUUGAGUGUGAGAGAGGUAUGUGGAACUCCGAGUGUAGAGGUGAAAUUCGUAGAUAUUCGGAAGAACACCAGUGGCGAAGGCGACAUACUGGCUCAUUACUGACGCUGAGGCGCGAAAGCGUGGGGAGCAAACAGGAUUAGAUACCCUUGUAGUCC